GACGAACGCUGGCGGCGUGCUUAACACAUGCCAGUCGAACGGAAAGGCCUGCUUUCCCUUGUGGAUUGCGGGUACUCGAGUGGCGAACGGGUGAGUAACACGUGAGUGAUCUGCCCCCAACUUGGGUAUAAGCCUGGGAAACUGGGUCUAAUUCCCGAUAGGACUGCAGGGUGGUGCCUGUGGUGGAAAACGAUUUUCUAGUGGUUGGGGAUGAGCUCGCGGCCUAUCAGCUUGUUGGUGGGGUAAUGGCCUACCAAGGCGGCGACGGGUAGCCGGCCUGAGAGGGUGGACGGCCACAUUGGGACUGAGAUACGGCCCAGACUCCUACGGGAGGCAGCAGUGGGGAAUAGUGCACAAUGGGCGGAAGCCUGAUGCAGCGACGCCGCGUGGGGGAUGACGGCCUUCGGGUUGUAAACUCCUUUCGACCGCGAGGAAGCCACCUGGUUGGAAGGGUGGUGACGGUAGUGGUAGAAGAAGCACCGGCUAACUACGUG
rnacentral:rRNA from 1 species